ncrna:unclassified sequences L13-Bacteroidia ribosomal protein leader
GUGGGUACACUUAGAGCCCCGUACGGCUCGUGUUAAUAGUGCUGUCUUUGGCCGGGCAGCAUGGUUAGGACAAGC